UCAUUCAAUGUUUUUUUUAUAAUAAGAAAAAAAACUAUGGACUACUAAACCGCACAUCCGGGUUUUUUUAUUAUUGUUCCUGCUCGAAAUGAUAUAGAGCGAUCAAAAGACGGCGUUUGUAAUUUGCAUUCGACCCUUAACGCCCCCGCAAUCCCCCUCUGCGUGUGGUCUUUAGCGUCACUAGGGAAUUAACGCACUAUAGAAAACCGGUGGAUGAAAGGCUGAUCGGAUUUAAUCCCGUGCCUAGAAAGACAGUAUUGAAGAUUAUUGAUACUGAAAAGCACUGAUUUUUAUACCGAGACUUAAACCUCGGUACAAAUGGUAAAAAAAAAUUGACAAGCAAAAAAAAGUCUUCACAUAGGAGAGGGGUCACUUAUGGCUCGUCAGGGAUCACUUUGGACUCGUCAGGGGGGGGCAGGGAUACGUCACUUGCAUGUGUUGUGACUCGUCAGGGGGGCAGUCUGCCCCCCCCCCUUAUUAGGUACGCUAAUGGUGCUGAUCGUUGACUUUGGCCGGUUUAUUAGGUCCGGUAAGAGGUAAAGGGUUGGAUCAAUUUUUUUAAACGUCUCAGAUUAAUUGAAAAUCGUUCGAGACAGAAAUUAUUUCAAAAUUGUUUUGAUUUGGAAAUUAUAUUGAAAUAAUUUAAUUUCCUUUGAGAAUAAACACUCUCCUAAAAAGAAGUACAAUUCACGUAUCUUUUCAAUUAAGUCAGAAAUAUAAGUCCUAAAUACAUUAGAUAAAUGGUCUCAACUCUCAGAUCACAGCUCAUGAUCGAUCGGAACGUAUUUCAAAAUUGUUUUGAGGUGGAAAUUAUAUAGAAUUUAUUUCAGAUACCAUAAGCUCUUUUUCCUGAAAUAAAUAUUAUUCGCUUAUCUUUCCAAUAAAAGGGAAAUACGUUGGAAUAAAAGUACUCAACAUCUUAGUCUUAGAUUAAUGCACGAUCGUUCGAGACGUAUUUUUGAAAUUGUUUUGAAGUGGAAAUUAUAUAUCAUGAAAUCAAUUAAAACCUUCCAAUGUAAACUUUUAUUCUCCUGGAAGAAAUACAAUCGCGUAUUUUUCCAAAAAAAGUCCAAAAGAAGCAGAUUGCGUUUCCAAUAAUUUUCUAGAAUCAAGAGUGCCUACAAUAUCAAAAAUUCGGCAUAAGUUAAACAAAAAACCCAACAUAAAUAUACCCAAACAAUUUAUACGAUGUCAGAAACAAAAUCGAAAUGUCAAAAAAUCAAAACAAAAAUAUCAUAAAAGGAAGUAUUUCAAACCAACAUAAAAAGUAAGGCAGUAUGUCUAACAAAAGAAAAAGAAGUAGACAUUUUGUUGAUUUGCGAUUUAGCGUGUUUAAUGAUAUGGCGUCAUUAUCAUUCUCCAAAAUUUAGUUUGCCGUUGAUAUCAAUGUUCGCACUAAUUUAGUUACAUUCGGGCAUCAUAUUCAUAUUGUGUCAUUUUAUCUGGCCUCUGUCAGAAAAAAUAAAUGUUCUAAAAAUAUUAAUCUUCCCGUGGCAAAGAUGAAUAGGCCUACCCCUCUAGUUAUACACUCUUGGCGGACAUUAUCCGGCGAGUUGGAUGAUAUAGGCCUAUUCAUACCAAGAUGUCUCAAACUAUGGCCUUAAUAGAGGUAAAAAAAACUAUGCAUGGGUACCAUUCGUGCAACUGCUCGAUCAUUAAUAUUCUUUUUAAACGAACGGUUUGUCUUGCGCUUCUUGAUUUUCAUGCUCGGGAAUUAAUAUUUUUGUCAGUGCCAAGAAGCAACGUUGACGUUCGGAUAAAACGGGAUAAAAUAGGCGUGUAAUCCAUCUGUAUCCGGUCCCAAAAUCAUACGUUAAAAAAAGGUCAUUAAUUCAACUUAUUUUUCAUGUGUGAAUCUUCCGUGUCAAUCUCAACUCGAAAGCUGCAACAUUUUCGAAAUCGGCAGUAUUUCUAUUGAUGGCGUUAAUUUUCAGUUCAGUUCGUUGACAACGGAAACUAUUGAGAACCAUCGACUUAUCGAGAUCGAGAAUUUUUGUCAUAUUCAUAAUUAUGCGCACGUGUUGAUAUAUUCUAUCACUAGCUAGCUGUAGUCAUUUCCAAUAGAGCGUGCUUGCAUGAAAUGCUUCGAUACGGACAUAAAAGAGGAACGCCUUUCAUUAUCAUGCUUUUAAAUAUAAUAAUUUGAAGUCGAGUAGCACGACAAGUGGAACUAGUACAGGCACCACGACGUACAUGUUUACUCUUCAUUCCGGGUCUUCAUUCCAGAGCGAGUCGCGGAAUUGAAGGCUAGCCGUGGCCGGCGCGGG